rnacentral:rRNA from 2 species
GUUGGGUAGGGGAGCGUUCUGUAAGCCUGCGAAGGUGGCCUGUGAGGGUUGCUGGAGGUAUCAGAAGUGCGAAUGCUGACAUAAGUAACGAUAAAGCGGGUGAAAAGCCCGCUCGCCGGAAGACCAAGGGUUCCUGUCCAACGUUAAUCGGGGCAGGGUGAGUCGACCCCUAAGGCGAGGCCGAAAGGCGUAGUCGAUGGGAAACGGGUUAAUAUUCCCGUACUUGGUGUUACUGCGAAGGGGGGACGGAGAAGGCUAUGUUGGCCGGGCGACGGUUGUCCCGGUUUAAGCGUGUAGGCUGGUUUUCCAGGCAAAUCCGGAAAAUCAAGGCUGAGGCGUGACGACGAGGCACUACGGUGCUGAAGCAACAAAUGCCCUGCUUCCAGGAAAAGCCUCUAAGCAUCAGGUAACAUCAAAUCGUACCCCAAACCGACACAGGUGGUCAGGUAGAGAAUACCAAGGCGCUUGAGAGAACUCGGGUGAAGGAACUAGGCAAAAUGGUGCCGUAACUUCGGGAGAAGGCACGCUGACAUGUAGGUGAAGUGAUUUACUCAUGGAGCUGAAGUCAGUCGAAGAUACCAGCUGGCUGCAACUGUUUAUUAAAAACACAGCACUGUGCAAACACGAAAGUGGACGUAUACGGUGUGACGCCUGCCCGGUGCCGGAAGGUUAAUUGAUGGGGUCAGCGCAAGCGAAGCUCCUGAUCGAAGCCCCGGUAAACGGCGGCCGUAACUAUAACGGUCCUAAGGUAGCGAAAUUCCUUGUCGGGUAAGUUCCGACCUGCACGAAUGGCGUAAUGAUGGCCAGGCUGUCUCCACCCGAGACUCAGUGAAAUUGAACUCGCUGUGAAGAUGCAGUGUACCCGCGGCAAGACGGAAAGACCCCGUGAACCUUUACUAUAGCUUGACACUGAACAUUGAGCCUUGAUGUGUAGGAUAGGUGGGAGGCUUUGAAGUGUGGACGCCAGUCUGCAUGGAGCCGACCUUGAAAUACCACCCUUUAAUGUUUGAUGUUCUAACGUGGACCCGUUACCCGGGUUGCGGACAGUGUCUGGUGGGUAGUUUGACUGGGGCGGUCUCCUCCUAAAGAGUAACGGAGGAGCACGAAGGUUGGCUAAUCCUGGUCGGACAUCAGGAGGUUAGUGCAAUGGCAUAAGCCAGCUUGACUGCGAGCGUGACGGCGCGAGCAGGUGCGAAAGCAGGUCAUAGUGAUCCGGUGGUUCUGAAUGGAAGGGCCAUCGCUCAACGGAUAAAAGGUACUCCGGGGAUAACAGGCUGAUACCGCCCAAGAGUUCAUAUCGACGGCGGUGUUUGGCACCUCGAUGUCGGCUCAUCACAUCCUGGGGCUGAAGUAGGUCCCAAGGGUAUGGCUGUUCGCCAUUUAAAGUGGUACGCGAGCUGGGUUUAGAACGUCGUGAGACAGUUCGGUCCCUAUCUGCCGUGGGCGCUGGAGAACUGAGGGGGGCUGCUCCUAGUACGAGAGGACCGGAGUGGACGCAUCACUGGUGUUCGGGUUGUCAUGCCAAUGGCACUGCCCGGUAGCUAAAUGCGGAAGAGAUAAGUGCUGAAAGCAUCUAAGCACGAAACUUGCCCCGAGAUGAGUUCU